rnacentral:lncRNA from 1 species
CUUUUGGUGGUUCAGGGUUGUUUCCUGAUCACAUUACUGUUACCUGCCAUGCCAACUAUUAAAUAGGAGCCACAUUUUGCACGUCAGAGUUAAUUGCUAUCUUGAUGUAAUCUUUGGAAUUAACAUGAAGGCUGUGCUUGUCAAAAGUCAAAGCAAACACAGCUCUGAGUGGGGAGUAACUGCUGUAUUGGUGAUGAAUUACAUUAAUUCCCACAGGAUGAGCUGAUGGCAGGAUUUCCAUGACUUACUGUGACUUAAUGCUGGACCUGCUGCUGGACCACAUAUGAAAUGCUGAUUUGCUGCUGAGCUGGAGAUGAUGCCUGGGCAUGGAGCAUGGAGGGAUGCCCAGCCCAUGGCAGCAGUGCCCAGGGAGGAGCUCCCUGCAGCUCCAUGCUGCCAGCAUGGCGGGGCUGCUACGGAGUCCAGAGCGAGCUGGGAUGAGGGAUGAGCUUGCACCAACCACCGCAAAGGGACUAAUUAAGGUGUGAAUGUUCCAGGGCUGCUCUAUGGGGUGUCAGCAUCUCCUCGUGCACAGGAUGCUCAGAGCCACCCCAUGCCUGGAGCUGGGGAGCACCUCAGCCUGCU